AGAGUUUGAUCCUGGCUCAGGAUGAACGCUGGCGGUAUGCGUAACACAUGCAAGUCGAACGAAGUUUUUCGGAACUUAGUGGCGGACGGGUGAGUAACGCGUGAGAAUCUGCCUUAAGGAUUGGGACAACAGUGGGAAACCGCUGCUAAUACCAAAUAUGCCUUUUAGUGAAACGGGUAAAACCGCCUUAAGAUGAGCUCGCGUCUGAUUAGCUAGUUGGUGUGGUAAGAGCGCACCAAGGCAACGAUCAGUAGCUGGUCUGAGAGGACGACCAGCCACACUGGGACUGAGACACGGCCCAGACUCCUACGGGAGGCAGCAGUGAGGAAUUUUCCGCAAUGGGCGAAAGCCUGACGGAGCAAUACCGCGUGAGGGAGGAAGGUUCUUGGAUUGUAAACCUCUUUUCUCAGAGAAGAAUAAUGACGGUAUCUGAGGAAUAAGCAUCGGCUAACUCCGUGCCAGCAGCCGCGGUAAUACGGAGGAUACAAGCGUUAUCCGGAAUGAUUGGGCGUAAAGGGUCUGUAGGUGGUUGUUCAAGUCUGCUGUUAAAGCGUCUGGCUUAACCAGAUAAAGGCGGUGGAAACUGAACGACUAGAGUGCGGUAGGGGUAGAGGGAAUUCCCAGUGUAGCGGUGAAAUGCGUAGAUAUUGGGAAGAACACCUGUGGCGAAAGCGCUCUACUGGACCGCGACUGACACUGAUGGACGAAAGCUAGGGGAGCGAAUGGGAUUAGAUACCCCCGUAGUCC
rnacentral:rRNA from 1 species